CAAUCAAUAAAAUUGAGAAUGGAAAUAAAAAACGUGUAAAAGAGACAACAGCUUUACCAAAGUGCACAGCCGAAGGCCACCAAUGGGUCUUCAACACAACAAGAAAAAUCCCUCAACCAGAGGCGGGCUUCAGCUGGUCUCUAAAACAUUAUAUACUAGUUAUGUGAAAAUGGACGUCACACUUAACUAAGAUAAAAAAAAAAAAAAAACAUAGAUCUCACCCCUCCCACUAUACAACUAUAGCUAGCUAAUGUAGAACAAAGAAGCACACACCAAUAUGCACA
rnacentral:lncRNA from 1 species